UACGUAGGGUGCGAGCGUUGUCCGGAAUUAUUGGGCGUAAAGGGCUCGUAGGCGGUCUGUCGCGUCGGGAGUGAAAACUCAGGGCUUAACCCUGAGCCUGCUUCCGAUACGGGCAGACUAGAGGUAUGCAGGGGAGGACGGAAUUCCUGGUGUAGCGGUGGAAUGCGCAGAUAUCAGGAGGAACACCGGUGGCGAAGGCGGUUCUCUGGGCAUUACCUGACGCUGAGGAGCGAAAGUGUGGGGAGCGAACAGG
rnacentral:rRNA from 1 species